rnacentral:tRNA from 1 species
GCGGGUAAGGUGUUUACGGAUACAUGCUAGCCUUCCAAGCUUGAGUAGACCGGUUCGAUACCGGCUACCCGCUCCA